AGUCUCCAUGUACAGUGCUGAAGGCCGAAGUUCACACACAGGCAGAAAAUGAGGAAAGAUCAAGAGCAGACUGGAACCUGAGGAGCAAAAACCAGAACCCCACAAAAACAGCCUGGUACUUGUGUCCAUCUUGGCGUCUGACCUUGGUGUCAGAUCACUUGCUCCAAGAGAAGCCAACAGCCCUGUGAUGAGGCCCAUGUGGAGAAGAACUGAGGCCAAAGACAGUAAUGAGCUGAGGCUUCUUCCCACAGCCAUAUGGUUGGGCCAUCUUGGACACACGUCCUCUAGCUCCAGUCAAGUGUCAGAUGACUGCAGGUCUAGCCAACAUCUUGAUGCUGGGACCCUGCUGACCCUUCAGAAUCCGCCCCUCCCAGGGCUGGCCAAUUCCAAGAGAUUGUGCCUGCCUUUCAUAUGCAGACCAGAGCCCACGCCCCAGCCCCCUCCUCUACCAGGCUUUCAUGC